CUACGGAGGGUGCAAGCGUUACUCGGAAUCACUGGGCGUAAAGCGCGCGCAGGCGGUCUUUUAAGUUGGAUGUGAAAGCCUACGGCUCAACCGUAGAACUGCAUCCAAAACUAUUAGACUAGAGUGUGGGAGAGGAAGAUGGAAUUAGUUGUGUAGGGGUAAAAUCCGUAGAGAUAACUAGGAAUACCAAAAGCGAAGGCAAUCUUCUGGAACACUACUGACGCUGAGGCGCGAAAGCGUGGGGAGCAAACGGGAUUAGAAACCCCGUAGUCC
rnacentral:rRNA from 1 species